UGUAUCUUCUGGGUCCAGUCUUCGUUGAUGUGCAGACUCCUCUUCCCACUGGGCCUGGAUGGGCAGGCAUCAGAGGUGAAAUCCAGUUCCCCACUUGUGGCCUUUAUGGCCUGUGCACCUCUGUCCUUCAGAAGUCUUCCCCGGACACCAGGGGUGCGAAGGUCCUCUUGUGUGUCACCCUCCGGAAGGUUAAGCAUCCUCCCUUUUCACUUGGAAGCCUACAGUCUUCUGGAGCUGAGUGCUGUGUCUGGAUGUCACCAUCACACACAGGAAACUACCUGCUGGGGCUGUUUCUGAACUCUUCCAUGAGCCUGUCCCUGUCCCUUUAGGCACCAUCUGGCAAAGCUUGUGCUAGUACCAUGCUGGCUCAGUUGCUGACACUUGCAGUGUAAGCCUUGCAACUUUCCUUUUUUUAGAAGAUCAUAUUGGUUUUUGCUGGCCCUUUGUGUUUCAUGUAAAAUAUAGAGC
rnacentral:lncRNA from 1 species